rnacentral:rRNA from 1 species
UACGAAGGGGGCUAGCGUUGUUCGGAUUUACUGGGCGUAAAGCGCACGUAGGCGGAUCGUUAAGUCGGGGGUGAAAUCCUGGAGCUCAACUCCAGAACUGCCUUCGAUACUGGCGAUCUUGAGUCCGGAAGAGGUGAGUGGAACUCCUAGUGUAGAGGUGGAAUUCGUAGAUAUUAGGGAAGAACACCAGUGGCGAAGGCGGCUCACUGGUCCGGUACUGACGCUGAGGUGCGAAAGCGUGGGGAGCAAACAGG